CAGUAGCCACGGUAAUACGUAGGGUGCAAGCGCUAAUCGGAAUUACUGGGCGUAAAGCGUGCGCAGGCGGUUUGUUAAGACAGAUGUGAAAUCCCCGGGCUCAACCUGGGAACUGCAUUUGUGACUGGCAAGCUAGAGUGUGGCAGAGGGGGGUGGAAUUCCGCGUGUAGCAGUGAAAUGCGUAGAUAUGCGGAGGAACACCGAUGGCGAAGGCAGCCCCCUGGGCCAACACUGACGCUCAUGCACGAAAGCGUGGGGAGCAAACAGGAUUAGAGACCCGAGUAGUCCCUGUCUCUUAUAC
rnacentral:rRNA from 1 species